GCGGAUGUGGUGUAUGGUGCACUGCUGUAUUCCAUUAAACUUGCGGCAUAUCGCUUUCAUUGCAGUUGGACGGGGUUUGACUCCCUGCGUCCGCA